rnacentral:rRNA from 1 species
CGCGUAGGUGGUUGUGUAAGUCGGAUGUGAAAUCCCCAGGCUCAACUUGGGAACCGCAUCUGAUACUGCAUGACUAGAGUACAGCAGAGGGAAACGGAAUUCCUGGUGUAGAGGUGAAAUUCGUAGAUAUCAGGAGGAACACCGGUGGCGAAGGCGGUUUCCUGGGCUGAUACUGACACUGAGGCGCGAAAGCGUGGGUAGCAAACAGGAUUAGAUACCCUGGUAGUCCACGCUGUAAACGGUGAGUGCUGGGUGUGGGGAGGUGUAAUGCCUUCUGUGCCGAAGCUAACGCGUUAAGCACUCCGCCUGGGGAGUACGGCCGCAAGGUUGAA